UCAAGAGUAUGCUUCCUCUGUUUAAUUUUAUCUGAAUUGGUAGUUGGAGGAUCAAAGGUUAAGGUGGCUCUGGGAAUAGAUGAGAUCAAAGAGCGAGGUAAAGUUUCCUUCUUAAUAAAUCCACGGCCAGCCACGACAUCAAAACCCGGCAAGAAGGAGCUGCUCGGAAACUUCUGGGUGCCAUUUUUGCACACAGAUGAGGCAAAACUAGUAGCUUGCACAGACGCCAUUUCGUUCACCAGAGAGAUAGGAAAGGGGAAUUGCAGGAGAAGAGUCUUAUCUCUCGAGAAGAGAGAGUGAGUACAUAAAACUGAACCGCUGAAC
rnacentral:lncRNA from 1 species